rnacentral:rRNA from 1 species
GACGAACGCUGGCGGCGUGCUUAACACAUGCAAGUCGAACGGAAAGGCCCUGCUUGCAGGGUACUCGAGUGGCGAACGGGUGAGUAACACGUGGGUGUUCUGCCCUGCACUUCGGGAUAAGCCUGGGGAACUGGGUCUAAUACCGGAUAGGAGCCAUUUUUCGUGUGAUGGUUGGAAAGUUUUUUCGGUGUAGGAUGAGCUCGCGGCCUAUCAGCUUGUUGGUGGGGUAAUGGCCUACCAAGGCGGCGACGGGUAGCCGGCCUGAGAGGGUGGACGGCCACAUUGGGACUUGGAUACGGCCCAGACUCCUACGGGGGGCAGCAGUGGGGAAUAUUGCACAAUGGGCGCAAGCCUGAUGCAGCGACGCCGCGGGGGGGAUGACGGCCUUCGGGUUGGAAACUCCUUUCGCUAGGGACGGAGCUUUUUGUGACGGUACCUAGAUAAGAAGCACCGGCUAACUACGUG